rnacentral:lncRNA from 1 species
GGGCCUUCAUCAUGAACUUCCUCCGAGUAUAAGAUACUUCGGGACAUUUUUCGGUGAAUAAAUAUAAAUGGCCUCGGGGCAUUCCCCGACUAAAUAAAUAUAUUUUUCAGUGCGAGAAAACCAAACCAUUCAACAAAAUUUCAAUCAUUCAACAAAACCAUGAGUCCUAAACUUUGCCUACCCAACAGACGUUUGCCUAUCAACUGUCGACCUAAACAUGAUAUUAUCGAUGUUAGCCAAAAUCGAUAGCUAUUCCAAAUUAAACAAUAAGAAUGAAUCAAAACAAACCAUAUUUGCCUUUUAUGAAUUUUCAAUUCCCAUCUUUAAUUCUCUUUUCAAAUUACCGGUUUCUCCUCCAAAUCAAAAUUAAUCAAACCAUGUCCAAUUUCCUCAUUCAGAUGCAUUCAACCCAUUCAACAUAAUUCCAACAAUUCCACAUGCUCACAAUAACACAUAUUCACGCACUUUUCAUCAGAAGCACACAAAAAAUCAAAUAAAUUUAACGAAGUUAUAAGAGAACAAGAGUAGAAUUGGACUUCAAUUUUUAUUUCAAUUCUAAAUUGUUCGACACCGCCAACGGAUUGGAACCAAAUUCGAAACCUCGACCCAACGAACUCAAUGCGGACCUACCAACUCGAUAAUUGAAUAGAACAGCCGAUUCCAAAAGUGAUUCUCCACGAAGGAAUGGAUUCAUUGUGUUUUCCAGCGAGACAAAGAUGAAAUUAGAAAAUAAGGGCUGUUUGGUCAGCUAUUUCCGGUAACUGUCGGACCGAAACCGAGUUGAUUCAACGGCAUUUUCCGGUGGGUGCAUUCAAACCGUUUGCUCGCUGUUCUCGAAUUGAUUUCAGGUGAGUUUUGGGAUGAUUUGGACGGAAAAUAGGCGCGGGAGCUGAUGGUUGUCGAUGGGAUGUUUUGGUCGGCAGAGAUCACCGGUGAUAGGUCACUGGAAAACAAACUAAACCCACUUUUCUCUCGCUGUUUCUCUGCACCCUCUUCUUUCCCGAUGUUCGAUCUCUCUCUGAAACCCGAUCACUCUCCUACUCCCUCCCCCAUCAUGUACAAUUUCCCCUUUUUGUAAAUAUAGCAUCUGUGUAUUUAUCUUUUUCCAGUGAUUUUUAUGUGUGUGCGUUUUUCCUCUGUGUAUGCGAGUGAGCUGUGUGUGGGUGAUGGGAAUUUCAGUAAAUUGUGAAUUAAUUGUUGGUCCCUUAUUGUUCUGUGAAGAAGGUGUAUACAUUGGUAUUGUGAAUGAAUGUGGUGUCGUGUAUAUCUAUAUCUAAUCCCAAAAUGGAAGAUGAUGGAAUCCCCUAUUUGUACAGCUGAUGGUGUGUGUAUAUAUAUAUAUAUAUAUAUAUUUGUGUUUUGUGAGUUUUUUAGGAAAGAGAAUAAAAUGUGAGAAGGGGUACGGUUCAUGGGAUGGAUAAGGGCAGGUGGGGUAGGGUAG